UGCAGAUUCUAUUCAGCCGGGGGAGUGAGAUGGCAGUAGCACUGUAGCAUUGCCAAGUGUGAAGCGGGCCAUGGGUCACUCGUGGGGCUGGCGGCUCGCACAAGGUGCUUAGGAGCCGAUAGUAGUACGUAUGACUCGGUAGAGCAUAUCGUGUAGGACGACGACGGCGGGUAGUGCUUGGGAACGACCCGUGCCUGGACCAUUGUGGACUGUGGAGCCUGGGCCCAUUGGGCAGGCGCAGUCAGCUGUGAGUGACAGCGGCCCGGUACCUAUAGGUAGGGCAGAGUUUUAGUCAGGACGGUAGUCCGAGCUUAG
rnacentral:lncRNA from 1 species